AUGCGAUACGUAAUGUGAAUUGCAGAAUUCAGUGAAUCAUCGAAUCUUUGAACGCACCUUGCGCCCCUUGGUAUUCCGAGGGGCACACCCGUUUGAGUGUCGUGA
rnacentral:rRNA from 1 species